rnacentral:misc_RNA from 1 species
UACGGAGGGUGCAAGCGUUGUCCGGAUUUAUUGGGUUUAAAGGGUGCGUAGGCGGCCCGUUAAGUCAGUGGUGAGAGCCCGGGGCUCAACCCCGGAACUGCCAUUGAUACUGGCGGGCUUGAGUACAGACGAGGUAGGCGGAAUUGAAGAUGUAGCGGUGAAAUGCUUAGAUAUCUUCAAGAACACCGAUUGCGAAGGCAGCUAACUAGGCUGUAACUGACGCUGAGGCACGAAAGCGUGGGGAGCGAACAGG